rnacentral:rRNA from 1 species
CAAUAGCGUAUAUUAAAGUUGUUGCAGUUAAAAAGCUCGUAGUUGAAUUUCUGUACAGUCCCAAUUUUGGCUUCGGUCAGGUUGUGGAUUGUGCAUCCGCUUGCAAAUCUAGUUCGGCAUUCACUUGUUGGCUAGGGGAGUAAGCUUUUUACUUUGAAAAAAUUAGAGUGUUUCAAGCAGGCAAUGGCUCGAAUACAUUAGCAUGGAAUAAUGGAAUAGGACUUUUGUCCAUUUGAUUGGUUAUUGGACUUAGGUAAUGAUUAAAAGGGACAGUUGGGGGCAUUAGUAUUUAAUUGUCAGAGGUGAAAUUCUUGGAUUUAUUAAAGACUAACUUAUGCGAAAGCAUUUGCCAAGGAUGUUUNCAUUA